ACCUUGCCCAGCAGCGCCGACCUGCGGACGGGCGAGAGGCCGGGGUGUCAUCGCGCACCAUCCCCAGGACGCUGAGCGACGGGGCCCGGUGCAGGGUGAGCCCCAGCUAUGCGGCAGAGACCCCGGUGCGGUGCUCCUCACUACUGGCAGCUGGACAGCCUCGUGCAUCCUUUCAACUGGGUGCCAAGCCCUGUCCAGAGCAUUGGACCUAAAGUCAUCUAUUGUCCCACUUCAUGGCCAUAAGGAAACUUUAAGAGUCUUGCCGGGGCUGUUCCUGAAUUUGCGAUCUUUCUACCUCAGUCUCCUAAAUCACUGUGAUUACAGAUAAGAAAAACCAGGAUACAGAAAGGCAAAGUCACUUGGACCCUGGAUUUGAGUCCUUCAGAGCCGGGGCUGGAAGCCUUUGCACUGGGAUACUAAUGCACAGCAGGAGGUGAGCAAUACAGGACCCAGCACCAGGGCCUCCUGCAGAGCACAGCUCAGACUGCAGGAUCCACCUUCCAUCGGGAUCCCAGCCCCAGAUAAAGAGACUGACAGCCGCCGGGCACAGAGGCACACACCUGUAAUCCUAGUGGUUCUGGAGGCUGAGGCAGGAGGAUGGUAAAUUCAAAGGCAGCCUCAGUAAUGAUGAGGUGCUAAG